rnacentral:lncRNA from 1 species
ACACAGCCGUUGUGUCUGUUUUGUUGCCGUUUCUUUUUCAUGUUAGGGUGCUUGGGGGGGGGCCGGGGGGUCGCCCCUAUAUUGGGGGCCGCUGCUCUGGCGUUUUCGAGGGGAUCGCUUUUGAGGUUUCGGAGGUUUUUUGUUUUACUUGGGUGGGGAGGACUCGGACAUUCGACUGUAUGUUGUAGUGGCGUGGUGGCUGCGUCGGGGUUCCGGCGGUUGGAGAUUGUGGGUUCGAUCCUGUGUAAUUCCCAAAUUUUUUUUCUCUCUAAUCUUUUGCACUUUUUGGAAUUUACAUUAUAUUUGGAUUUUU